GAUGAAGAACGUAGCGAAAUGCGAUACGUAAUGUGAAUUGCAGAAUUCAGUGAAUCAUCGAGUCUUUGAACGCACAUUGCGCCCCCUGGUAUUCCGGGGGGCAUGCCUGUCCGAGCGUCAUUGCUGCCCUCAAGCACGGCUUGUGUGUUGGGCCUCCGUCCUCCUCCCGGGGGACGGGCCCGAAAGGCAGCGGCGGCACCGCGUCCGGUCCUCGAGCGUAUGGGGCUUCGUCACCCGCUCUUGUAGGCCCGGCCGGCGCUUGCCGACACAUCAAUCUUUUUUCCAGGUUGACCUCGGAUCAGGUAGGGAUACCCGCUGAACUUAAGCAUAUCAUUAAGCGGAGGA
rnacentral:misc_RNA from 1 species